rnacentral:lncRNA from 1 species
UAUGGUUUCCAAUUGUUAGUUUUCCUUCCCUUUCUUCGGCCUUUAUUCUUUCAAUGUAUGUAUCUUCUCAAAUAUAUUUUAAUAACCAAAUCUCCCGCAACAACGUGCGGGGUAUUGUCUAGUUCAUCAUGUUUACGAUUACAAAUAACAAAGUUAUCUAAUAAAUCCAUCCUUACGAUUACAAAUAAAAUUCGUCCAGACAAUUGAAUGCCACUUAGCACUAAGUAACCAGCGGCAUGAAACAUUUUAGAAAUCACUAUUAUUUUCGAGAAAUCACUAUUAUAAAACUGAGUGCUGCUGUAGUUGAAAACUGAGUACCACCGAACUCGAAAAGUGUGUACUGCCGAACUUGAUCUUCAAUUAGCUUAAUUUGCAGAUGACCAGAGAUCUCCCAUCAAGUUACUUGUUCAGCCAUCUCUCCAGGACUAUAGCGACUAAAACAUUCUUAUCCAUGGCCUGGAAGCAACGUAGUAUACUGUUAAUUUUACUGUAGCCUUUAGGUUCACUUUUCUUCUCACCAAAACCUGAACUUUGCUACUGGCUAUUUGUAAAAGAAGGUCUGAAAUUUCAAUUUAACAUUACUCAUACCAACCAUAAAUACAGAGACAUUACUCUCUAUCCCUCAUACAUUAGCCGUCAACCACUUGUACAUAUGCCUGAAAAACAGAAUAUUUUUAGUUCUCAGAAGUAUAACACCAAACAUGUAGAGGCCCCCAACAGACAAGCACACUGAACACUAUAGGAUUAACAUCACUAUGCUAAACUGGUAGUGUUGAAAUCAAAGAUAUCUCAUAGAGAUAUUUUAUGUACCAAAUUAAUCAUAAUCACAUGAACACAUAACACAGAGGCUGCAGGUAUGAAUCAAAAGUAUACAGAGAAACAAGAAAAAAAAAGCAAAAACUCUGAAACAAAACAAGUCGUGCCAAUUACAAUGGUGGGAGUCAUCAUAUUGAAAUAGUCUGUGUCUUCUAACUAUUUACGCCAUUGUCUAAGUGUAGUAAUCUGGCACGAGAGAGUGCUAUCUAAAAUAAAACACACGCAUCUUAAGUCACUUCAACAUGGAUUUUCUUAAUACUACUAGAAGUCGUGUUACUAAACUUCAUCGCUGUGUGAUGAAACAAAAGGAGCUAACAAUUUGAGGUUAAUAACGUUGUAAGUAAAAACCUGAAAAGCAAUUGAAGUUCAUGAAACUAGUAGGCUCGUUCACAACUAACAUUAGUGUGAAAGAGAUACUCCCCUCCGUCGACCCCAUGAUUUCUGUCGAUAGGGCCCUUCUUGACUUAGGGCGCCUUGCUUUCCGUCGGGCCUUUGGGCCGGCGGAAUCCGCCGCCUGGCGUGAGUUGCUUGAUUGCGUUGCUCUGCACGAGCCGUUGGUGGAUGGGAGUCAGGACCUUGUGCGCUGGCGCCUGGAGCCUUCGGGCCAGUUCUCCACCAAGUCGUUGUACAUGGCCAUUGCCCCCUCCUCCGCCCCCCUCCCCCUAUCGUUGGUAUGGUCCGCCCGCGUCCCCCUGAAGAUUCGCAUCUUCAUGUGGCAGUGGAUUCGCGGUCGGGUCCCGUCUGGUGUGGAGGUCUGCAAGCGCAAUGGCCCGGGCACUGGUAUAUGCCCGCUCUGUGGGGUCCCUGAAGACUCGAACCACAUUUUCUUCGCUUGCGUCUCCGCCCAGUUCCUCUGGAGCUGUUUUCGCGAGGUUGUCGGUGGAAGUUGGUGCCACACCAAUUUCCCGGACUUAUUUGCUGAACUCCAGAUGUCCCCCGCGUCCUCUCGCCACAUUAGGUGGCUUGAGGUUGGGGUUCUUGCCUGGACUCUUUGGACCGUUCGCAAUAAGCUUGUGAUCCAGCGUACCCCCUUCGUCGCGCUACUGACGCUCUCUACAAACUCUCGGGUUUCUUGCAGCUUUGGCGGCCGCUUAGCCACCCCCUGGACCGGGACGCCAUCUCCGCCUUCAUCGCCGACCUCCGCUCGAUGGCCGUCCGCCUGUCGCCGCCGCCCCCUCCGCCCCCGCCGGAUCCAGACUAGACUCCUUGCGCCUGGAGUGUGUUGUUUUCUUUCUUUCUUUUGGGCUUGUUGAGUUGUGCCCUCAGCAGAACCUGUUUACUGUGUUGUGAGACUCGGGUGGUUUGUGUGUGUGAACUUGCUUCGGUUGUAUGUUUUGUGGCGGUUUGCUUUAUUUAUAAAGCGGGGCGAAAGCCUUUUUCGGUAUAAUUCAUCAGACACAUAUCAUAGAAUCAAUAUUAAAUGGAACUACAUAAAUGCAUAUCAAAUCUAGUGUUACAGCGGUAAAGAAUAUGGGGAAGAAAUUAACCAUAUUUUAAUGGAUAGCUUUGCAAGAUAGGAAAAUAGGUUAGUUCGAACAAACACCUUACAGUAUAUAAAAAUAAGCAAAGAUGAUGGUGUGGAUCUUCUUUACAGUAUCCAUGGCUACGGAAUAAACUAAAUUGAAGGAGCCUAGAUCGAAUCGCAUGAUUACUCGUCAAAAAAGAAGAUUACCAUCUGGUUUUCCUACAAAAAACAAACAAGCAAUAACCUCAAUGAACAAUCAUUCUUUCCUGUUAUACGAGAUAACUCCUGGAUUGAGGGUGGGCUAAACCAAAAAAUCUGUGAAAAUUGACAGGCUGGGUGAGGAUCAGCGUCCACCUCAUGGCAAUUGAAAUAAAUCUAACUUGAAUUUGCAGCAUCCUUGUAUAUUGACAAGCUGGGUGAGGGUUAGUAACUACGAAUGUAAGGUUUCCAACCACCCAUGUAAGAAAUCUAGCGUACCAUACAAAUUCGUUCAACAUUCGCCUUGAGCACAAUGUAAAAAUGUGAGAAGCAAAACUGAGAAGGUUAGUGUACUGCAGGUGUAUGAAUUGUUUUGAUGGAUGAGACAAAGAGCUACAAAUUUACCAUCCAUUGAAACAAGAAAACCUGACCCUGCAUCUUGCAAAUUUUGCUAGUUGCAAGUGUGUACCACUAGUAUUCAGGUCUGCACCUAGAGAAAGUUCUGAACCCUUCCACAUAGAGACCGUCAACAACUGCAGGUCAAAAGUGAAAAUCCAUAUUUUUAUUAGAACAAUUCAAGUUUAAGAAAUGACACAUUUGUGUUCUUUAGCAAGAUCAGGCCACUAAAAGGUUUAAAUUUUUGAUCUAUUCAGAGGUAUGAUCGGCCUCAAUGUCAGUGGCUUUCCUAACUCAAAAAUGAACAAAACAUUAUAGCAAUUCAGUGACAUUGCACAUUCAGAUCAUGGUUACUUGGGCUUGGAUGAUUCACACUUCUUCUUGGGGUGUGUGAUUCUUUGUUGCUUGCAGUGUGAAGCUUGUUUUUCACAUUUUAUUGUGCUCUACCCUUUCUGAUUUCCUUCUUUCUACAACAGCAGGUUCACAAUGAUGGCAUAACCAUCCUAAUGCCUUCAUUUUCUCUCACCUCAUGCCACACCAGACUACAACAUAACAGAAAAACACUGAAAAUCUUUAAUUUAGCAGCUCCUUCUCAUCCAUUAAAAUAUCUAGUGGGCAAACAUACAAAGUGGAUUAAAGAGCAAAAAAUUGUUUCCCAAUGAAUAUGUAUUUAAGUAUUGUAGAAAUUAUAUUCCAAGAGCUCAAAUACAAAACGGGUUACUGCCUCAGGUUUAUUCUAUCAGGUUAGCACUUGAGACAGACCCUUUCCAUCCCGUGAAAAUCAAAUGGACAGUAUGAAUUUGAGAACAGUGAUUCGCUUGAACCCAACAGUAAACAAACUAACUACAUAAUAAAGUACUCCCUCCGUCCGAAAAUACUUUUCAUCAAAAUGAAUAAAAAGGGAUGUAUCUAGAACUAAAAUACGUCUAGAUACAUCUCCUUUUGUUCAUUUUGAUGACAAGUAUUUCCGGACGGAGGGAAUAGUAACCUAUUCCAAAAGGAAACAAGACCAGUAUUAAAGCAUUAAAUGUGUACUCUUCUUGCCAUUGGCAAUAACAGGCUACAAGUUGCUUUCCAGCAUACUAUCACGCAAAUCAGAUUCUGAUUAACCUCCUUUAAAUUUCUGUCAGCUAAGUUGGCUAAUUGAUUUACUAAGACGAGCUCUUGCAACUAAGUCUGCCUAAAUCGGAUCAUUCCACAACUGCAAGUAGAUCUUUCACAGAUGAGACUGCUCCUAGUCACGAGAAAUCACUCGCAAGUUGGAAAAAAAUCUCAGAGCUUAGAAAGCAUACGCAUGCAGACGUCUAAAUAAAGAGACGGAGGAGGAACUUUUACGAUCCAAUUUGUAAGCAUCAGUCUCCAAGAAGGAAGAAAUCAUGGGAGAACCAGACCAAGGAGAAAAAAAAUAUUACUAGGUUAGAGAGAGAGCAGGCCGUACGGAGGAGGGCAGUCACCACCAUCUUCUUGUCGCUGGCGCCUUCUCCGACAGAGGAGGGCUGGAUUUGCAGUGGUCGGCGCCGCCGCAGCCCAAAUCGCCGUCCCAUCAGCCCCUCCACCGCGGCUGCCGCCACUGUCGCCUCCUAAUCGCCAAGUGUACGGGGGAGAGGGGGACAGGGGCGACAAAAAUCUCCGCCGAGCAUCACGUCGUCGAUCCCCACCGCUCACCGCGCCCUCCACGUUCAAAGUAGAAACCGCUCGCAGGUGAGCACCUAAUUAGCGAAGGCAUUGAGGAGUGGGCUGGCUCCUCCCAGCGUCAAGGUAAUCUUACGAAGGUACUGAUACAAUUUUACGUCAGUUGAAACCUGGCCAAG